UUCAUUUUUCCAGAAACCCUAAAAGGGAAAAACGAGAUAGAGCUCUUGUCUCAAUUUAAUCUUGUUUCUAAAGAACUCUCGCAGCUACCUAGAAUAUCUAGAAGACAUAUGAGAAGCCGUCUCCUAGGCCUCAUAACACAGCACACACAAGGGUGUGAGGCCAAGAUCUCUUCUUCAAGUUGGCAGCGAUAAGCACUUUUCUCUUCAAAGCCAAGCACAAGGUGAUUCUUACUUUCUCUAGUACCUUUAUCUCUCAGAAAAAUCGAAUGAUGACCUUCCAAUUUACCUCCGAAAUUAAUGAGCUUAUAGCCUUCCCAUGCCCCUCUUAGCUCUUAGCUUUGCCAAUGGAAUAGUAAUAUCGUACAGAUGGAAACCACUUGCUGCUUCCAAGGACGAGAUAGGAACUCCUAAUUACAAACCCUGCAUGCCCACCGAUGCCAUCAUCCAAGAUACUGCCAUCAAAAGUGAUCUUAAGAAAGCUAAGAGGGGCUUCCAAGUGAUUUAAUCACAAAGAAAGGUCCAGAAGCUAUAAAAUGAGAGUCCUAGAUUUCCCUGGUUAUCAAAGAUCCCUUGGAGACACUAGAUUGGAUGAGCUCAGCAACUUGGAUUUGAGGGCUUUGGUUGGAGUUCUCAAAUAUGCAACUAUUUCUGGCCAACAAAAUAUAUCCGGCCAACUAUUGUGCUGCUCUUGGACAUGCAAGAAGAACAUGCCACCUUCCGUAGGAUCAAGAUGUGAUCCUGGCCAUAGCCUUAGUCGAUGUUGGGUCAGCCCAAAAGAUAUUGUAGAAUCCCGGGCCUUAACUUUGAGGGACAAUGAAGCUUCCCGACCAAUUUUAUCAUGAGUCUCAAAAACGUGCACUAGAGAGAGAAUUUUACGUACCAAACCUUAUAUGGCGAUUCGGCUAUAGUAAUUGAUUGGAUUCAGAGCAGACGAGUCAGAACAUAUCUGUAUCCUUUGAUCCAUGACAUUUGCCGUUUGCUGGAGGAGUGCGAUUCUUUUAGAGACAAACAAUGCGGCAGACUAGACUGGGUCGCCUCCUUCGCAACACACCACACGGGCACCUUCACAUGGAGGGCAUUGGAGCAUGUGCCAUUAGCAUUAGAGCGUAUUUUGCACUGUGACUAUUCAAAGCAUCCUCACGGCCGUAUGUAGUAAGAUGCCGUUACACCAAAAAAAAAAAAACCCUACGUGGAGGCCUAGAACAUGAAAGCUCUAUUCCACCUGCUUUCUCCUUCAAUAGCAGGUCUUCCACCUUUAAAUAUUCCAAA
rnacentral:lncRNA from 1 species